CUCCCUCUGUCACUCGCUCUCCCCAAUCCUCACUCAUUUGCUCAUUAUCACUGGGCUGGGGCAGGGGGUUGGGGUGUGGGAGGAGGUGUGGGCUGUGGGCUG